CUUGACCUCGGAUCAGGUAGGGAUACCCGCUGAACUUAAGCAUAUCAAUAA
rnacentral:ncRNA from 4 species